rnacentral:rRNA from 1 species
UACGUAGGGGGCAAGCGUUGUCCGGAAUCAUUGGGCGUAAAGAGCGUGUAGGCGGCCCGGUAAGUCCGCUGUGAAAGUCCAGGGCUCAACCCUGGGAUGCCGGUGGAUACUGUCGGGCUCGAGUCCGGAAGAGGAGUGUGGAAUUUCUGGUGUAGCGGUGAAAUGCGCAGAUAUCAGGAGGAACACCAAUGGCGAAGGCAGCACUCUGGGACGUGACUGACGCUGAGACGCGAAAGCGUGGGGAGCAAACAGG